GAAAAGGCAAACCCGUUGCGAAACGGGGACGCAAAACUAGAGGGUCUUGCAGGGCAAGACAGCCAGUUGCCA
rnacentral:ncRNA from 1 species